rnacentral:rRNA from 1 species
AUUGAACGCUGGCGGCAGGCCUAACACAUGCAAGUCGAACGAGUGGCGGACGGGUGAGUAAUUUCUGGGAAACUGCCCUAUGGAGGGGGCUAACUACUGGAAACUGUAGCUAAUACCGCAUACCAUCGGAUGUGCCCAGAUGGUAUUAGCUAGUUUGUGGGGUAAAGGUUCACCAAGGCCACGAUCCCUAGCUGGUCUGAGAGGAUGACCAGCCACACUGGAACUGAGACACGGUCCAGACUCCUACGGGAGGCAGCAGUGGGGAAUAUUGCAAAAUGGGGGCAAACCUGAUGCAGCCAUGCCGCGUGUAUGAAGAAGGCCUUCGGGUUGUAAAGUACUUUCAGCGAUGAGGCGUUACCCACAGAAGAAGCACCGGCUAACUCCGUGCCAGCAGCCGCGGUAAUUC